GGAUUGAGAUAUGGCUUAGAUUGAACGCUGGCGGCAUGUUUAAUAUAUGCAAGUCGAACGGUAAUAGGUGGAAGCUUGCUUCUGCGCUGAUGAGUGGUGGAUGGGUGAGUAAUGUGUGGGAAUUUGUCUAGUAGUGGGGGAUAACCCGAGGAAAUUUGGGUUAAUAUUGUAUAUGUUUUAUGGGGGAAAAGGGGUUUUUUUUGGAAGCUCUUGCUAUUAGAUGAGCCCGCGUUGGAUUAGUUUGUUGGUGGGGUAAUGGUUUAUUAAGGUAAUGAUUUAUAGCUGGUCUGAGAGGAUGAUUAGCUACACUGGGAUUGAGAUAUGGCUUAGAUUCCUAUGGGAGGUAGUAGUGGGGAAUAUUGGAUAAUGGGCGAAAGCCUGAUCCAGCAAUGUUGUGUGUGUGAAGAAGGUUUGUGGGUUGUAAAGUAUUUUUAAUUGGGAAGAAAAGCUGAAGGUUAAUAACCUUCGGUCUUGAUGUUAUUUUUAGAAGAAGUAUUGACUAACUCCGUGCCAGUAGUUGUGGUAAUACGGAGGGUGCAAGCGUUAAUCGGAAUUACUGGGCGUAAAGCGCGCGUAGGCGGUUAGGUAAGUCAGAUGUGAAAUCCCUGGGUUUAAUUUGGGAAUUGCAUCUGGUACUGCUUAACUAGAGUUUGGUAGAGGUAAGUGGAAUUCCGGGUGUAGUGGUGAAAUGUGUAGAUAUCCGGAGGAAUAUUAGUGGUGAAGGUGAUUUGCUGGAUUAAAAUUGAUGUUGAGGUGUGAAAGUGUGGGGAGUAAAUAGGAUUAGAUAUCCUGGUAGUCCACGCCGUAAACGAUGUCAACUAGCCGUUGGGAGCUUUAAUGUUCUUGGUGGCGCAGCUAACGCGUUAAGUUGACCGCCUGGGGAGUACGGCCGUAAGGUUGAAACUCAAAUGAAUUGACGGGGGCCCGUACAAGCGGUGGAGCAUGUGGUUUAAUUCGAUGCAAUGCGAAGAACCUUACCUACCCUUGACAUCCUCAGAACUUGUUAGAGAUAAUUUGGUGUUUUUGGGAACUGAGUGACAGGUGCUGCAUGGCUGUCGUCAGCUUGUGUUGUGAGAUGUUGGGUUAAGUCUCGCAACGAGCGCAACCCUUGUCCCUAGUUACCAGUAUUUUGGGUGGGAACUCUAGGGAGACUGCCGGUGAUAAACCGGAGGAAGGUGGGGAUGACGUCAAGUCAUCAUGGCCCUUAUGGGUAGGGCUACACACGUGCUACAAUGGCCGGUAUAGAGGGUUGUUAAUUUGUGAGGGGGAGUUAAUUUUAGAAAGCCGGUCGUAGUCCGGAUUGGAGUCUGUAAUUUGAUUCCAUGAAGUCGGAAUCGCUAGUAAUCGCGAAUUAGUAUUGUUGUGGUGAAUACGUUCCCGGGCCUUGUACACACCGCCCGUCACACCAUGGGAGUGGGCUGCAAAAGAAGUGGCUAGUCUAACCUUCGGGAGGACGGUCACCACUUUGUGGUUCAUGACUGGGGUGAAGUCGAAAUAAGGUA
rnacentral:rRNA from 1 species